GGGAAGUGUAAUUUCCGGUGGGAAACCUGUGGGCUGAGUUCUGAGGAGAGCGGCUGUUUCGCGUCCACUCUGAAAGCAAGCAAGAAAAACAGAAAAUACACACUAUGAAUUUCCAGCUUUUUCUAAGCCUUUAAGCCAGGAAGCUAUUGGGAUCGCAACAAGUUCUGUCAUCUGGGAAGGUUUUGCCUCUGGAAAGGAGUCAUAUUCUAGUGACUUUCACAGGAACAAGGGAAGUGGUUGAAUGUGGUUGUUUCAGCUCUUCAGUGAGUUUUUGUCUAUAAACAAAUGCAUUGAUAUCCAAGUAACUGAAGGAGAGC